AACGAACGCUGGCGGCAGGCUUAACACAUGCAAGUCGAACGCAUCCUUCGGGGUGAGUGGCAGACGGGUGAGUAACGCGUGGGAACGUGCCCUUCAGUUCGGGAUAACCCAGGGAAACUUGGGCUAAUACCGGAUACGUGCGAGAGCAGAAAGGUUUAUCGCUGAAGGAUCGGCCCGCGUCUGAUUAGCUAGUUGGUGGGGUAAUGGCCCACCAAGGCGACGAUCAGUAGUUGGUCUGAGAGGAUGAUCAGCCACAUUGGGACUGAGACACGGCCCAAAAUCCUACGGUAGGCAGGAGUGGGGAAUAUUGGACAAUGGGCGCAAGCCUGAUCCAGCCAUGCCGCGUGAGUGAUGAAGGCCUUAGGGUUGUAAAGCUCUUUCGCCCGGGACGAUAAUGACGGUACCGGAAGAAGAAGCCCCGGCUAACUUCGUGCCAGCAGCCGCCGUAAUAC
rnacentral:rRNA from 1 species